GAUGAACGCUGGCGGCGUGCUUAACACAUGCAAGUCGAACGAACCUUCGGGUUAGUGGCGGACGGGUGAGUAACGCGUGGGAAUCUGCCCUCAGGAGGGGGAUAACGGUUGGAAACGACCGCUAAUACCCCAUAUGCCGAGAGGUGAAAUGAAUUUCGCCUGAGGAUGAGCCCGCGUCUGAUUAGCUUGUUGGUGGGGUAAUGGCUCACCAAGGCUUCGAUCAGUAGCUGGUCUGAGAGGAUGAUCAGCCACACUGGGACUGAGACACGGCCCAGGCUCCUACGGGAGGCAGCAGUGGGGAAUUUUCCGCAAUGGGCGAAAGCCUGACGGAGCAACGCCGCGUGAGGGAUGAAGGCCUCUGGGCUGUAAACCUCUUUUCUCAAGGAAGAAGAUAU
rnacentral:rRNA from 1 species